rnacentral:RNase_P_RNA from 2 species
GACAGAGGGAGCCCGACUCCCGUGCCUCCGGCAUGAGGAAAGUCCCCCCACCGGCCGGACGGGCGACCGGGCACACGCCCGGAGUCGGAGACGGCUGGCGCUGGAACAGCAACGACACCCCCCGCCUCGACCGAUGAGACGCGUUCGGUCGCCGCAGGCGACCGGCGGCGUUCGCGGGUGAUCCCGCGAACGCGCGAACCGACCCGCAAGGGAAGGGAGUUAACCCGUCGAGGACCGACGUGGCCUCGCCACGCGACGGGCGGGAACGGAUGGAACGGCGAAUCCUCGCCGGUGCAAGUCCGUGCCAUAAGGUAGUCCGGCCACGGCGCGGACGCUCAGCCGAAUGUCGGGACGAACCGAAGGGGGCUUACUCCCCUCAGUC